CUUAUCUUCUUCAUUCUUCUCAUCUCAAAUCAAAUCAAAUCUCUAAUCUAAUUCAAGGAAUUCUACCAACACCAACAAGAAUAAUAAUCUUUCACUAUGUUAGAAAUUCAAAAGUUAGGGUUGAGAAGUGUGUGUGUGUGCGUGGCCGAAAAUCUCAAGAGAAAGGAGAAGGAAAAGAAUUUAUAAUUUAAAUUCUUGUAAUUGUUCUUGAAAUCCUUAAGGUUGCAAGCAAAAUAAUGUGUGUUCUUGUGGUCAUCAUGGACUUGAUUGUUCGUCAUUAAGGUGGUUCCGGAACAGAAAACUAGUUGCUAGUUGAUUGAAGUUGUUGAUUUUGGAAGUUGCUAGACUUGUGAAGGUAUUUGACCAUCCAUGGAAGAAUGGUACUUUUGUUAGAACAUAGUUCAUCCCACCUCAUGAAGGCUUUUGGUAUAAAUUUUGCAUUUUGAAACUUGUUAGUUAUGGUGUAAAAUUUUGAAUUUGGUAACUUGAUCUUAUAAGUACUAUGUGAAAAGUGUUUUGGAAACCUGGACAAAAUGGGUAAAUGACCCAUUUGGUUAUGAACAUGAAAAGUUGGUUAUGUCUUUAUGAAUUGAAACUUUCAUUAUUUUGAGUUAUGUGUCUUUAGUCCAUUUUUGAAGUAUGAAAGUUAUUGGUGAAA